UUGUGGAGGAGGACGCCGAAGGUGGGGCUGAUGACUGGGGUGAAGUCGUAACAAGGUAGCCGUACCGGAAGGUGCGGCUGGAUCACCUCCUAACAGGGAGACAAAACUGAUUAUGAUGUCUGAUUCAAAGUAAUUAGGCCGUAAUCCUGUCACCUUAGGUCGAUCGGUACCUCUGAUUAAAUACUUCAAAAGUGAGAAAUUGCUUUAGUUAGUUGUUAAUUUCAGUUCCUAAACUUGUCUAGGUCACACCCAAAAACUUUCUCCUGGGCUAUUAGCUCAGGCGGUUAGAGCGCACCCCUGAUAAGGGUGAGGUCCCUGGUUCAAGUCCAGGAUGGCCCAUUCCGUUGUUGGGGGUAUAGCUCAGUUGGUAGAGCGCCUGCUUUGCAAGCAGGAUGUCAGCGGUUCGAGUCCGCUUACCUCCACUGAUCAACUACCUGAUAACUCAAAUUGGAGAUUGUUAUUUGUUUAAUGUGAUUUAGAGUUGUUCAUCUGAAUGAACCUAGCUUCCUAUCAUACCUUCAUCAUUUAAGGCUGAUAAGACACUGGGCUCACUGAUAUUUUUUAAUAUCAGUUUGAUUCAGUAGAACCUUGACAACUGCAUAGGAAAGUCUGGAAAAAAUAAAGCAUCUCAUAGAUGCAUAGAGAACUAUUAUUUAAAAUUAAAUAAUUCGUUUUUUAUGUUUAAUUCUUGAGUUAGAGCUUAAUUUCUAUAAUCCAAUCACUUAUUAAUUAAAGAUAACUGAUUAACUAAUUUAUCUUAGUUGUGGUUAUAGAUUUUAUUGAAUUGAAUGGUCAAGCUACAA
rnacentral:misc_RNA from 1 species